AAUCAGGAUUCAGACUACAAUACAGCUGUUAAGUGCUGUGUUGUCAUUUCCCCUGCUCAAAAUAAAGUUUUUCUUACCUGUACCUGUCUGCUAUACCCUUAUAGCAGCCAAGGAUGCUUGGUCUCAUACAU
rnacentral:snoRNA from 1 species